GCGGUGCAUGAUUGGCAAUGCUUGCCUGAACACUCAAUUAGAUCUCCACCUUCAUCAACGGCGUGCCUGCUCUUCCUGGUGGGUCCACCCCUUGAGACCUCGUGGGUCCUUUCUUGACUUGAAACUCGAGGACCCAACAAGGAUGAAAAAGUGAUCUGGAUGGCAAACAGGUUAAGAGGAAGAAGAAACUUGAGAUGUGGUCAUAUAUCUCUUUAAGAGUACGUGCUCUAGGUUUCCUUACGUAUUAUGUUCUCUUUAUGGUAUCCAGUUAUGUUAUGCGAUGCGGCCAUGGAGGUUAGGGCAUUAUACUCUCUUGUAAAUCUUGUUUAUAAACUCACUCACGACAUAAAACAGAGGCAGGCAGCCAAGAUUAUACAUACAGAUUCUCAUGGUAUCGCUUGAUAUUUUCCUCAA